ACCCGCUGAACUUAAGCAUAUCAAUAAGCGGAGGAAAAGAAACCAACAGGGAUUGCCCUAGUAACGGCGAGUGAAGCGGCAACAGCUCAAAUUUGAAAUCUGGCUCUUUUAGAGUCCGAGUUGUAAUUUGCAGAGGGCGCUUUGGCUUUGGCAGCGGUCCAAGUUCCUUGGAACAGGACGUCACAGAGGGUGAGAAUCCCGUACGUGGUCGCUGGCUAUUGCCGUGUAAAGCCCCUUCGACGAGUCGAGUUGUUUGGGAAUGCAGCUCUAAAUGGGAGGUACAUUUCUUCUAAAGCUAAAUAUUGGCCAGAGACCGAUAGCGCACAAGUAGAGUGAUCGAAAGAUGAAAAGCACUUUGGAAAGAGAGUCAAACAGCACGUGAAAUUGUUGAAAGGGAAGCGCUUGCAGCCAGACUUGCUUACAGUUGCUCAUCCGGGUUUUUACCCGGUGCACUCUUCUGUAGGCAGGCCAGCAUCAGUUUGGGCGGUAGGAUAAAGGUCUCUGUCACGUACCUCCUUUCGGGGAGGCCUUAUAGGGGAGACGACAUACUACCAGCCUGGACUGAGGUCCGCGCAUCUGCUAGGAUGCUGGCGUAAUGGCUGU
rnacentral:rRNA from 1 species